AAUGGGGGCAACCCUGAUCCAGCCAUGCCGCGUGAGUGAAGAAGGCCUUCGGGUUGUAAAGCUCUUUCGGACGGAAAGAAAUCGCGCAGGUAAAUAAUCUGCGUGGAUGACGGUACCGUAAGAAGAAGCACCGGCUAACUACGUGCCAGCAGCCGCGGUAAUACGUAGGGUGCGAGCGUUAAUCGGAAUUACUGGGCGUAAAGCGUGCGCAGGCGGCUUUGUAAGACAGGCGUGAAAUCCCCGGGCUUAACCUGGGAACUGCGCUUGUGACUGCCAGGCUAGAGUACGGCAGAGGGGGGUGGAAUUCCACGUGUAGCAGUGAAAUGCGUAGAGAUGUGGAGGAACACCGAUGGCGAAGGCAGCCCCCUGGGUCGACACUGACGCUCAUGCACGAAAGCGUGGGGAGCAAA
rnacentral:rRNA from 1 species